GUCCAGGUCGCCUAAUGGUAGGGUAUUGGUCUGCAAAACCGACUGUGCGAGUACCCUUCCCUUCGGGACGCUCCGCGAACGGGAACGCUUACGCGAACAAUUCUCGCCCUGGACUCCA
rnacentral:tRNA from 1 species